rnacentral:rRNA from 1 species
CACGUAGGGGGCAAGCGUUGUCCGGAUUUAUUUGGCGUAAAGAGCUCGUAGGCGGUUCGGUAAGUCGGGUGUGAAACCUCCAGGCUCAACCUGGAGAUGCCACCUGAUACUGCUGUGACUCGAGUCCGGUAGGGGAGCGUGGAAUUCCUGGUGUAGCGGUGAAAUGCGCAGAUAUCAGGAGGAACACCAGCGGCGAAGGCGGCGCUCUGGGCCGGAACUGACGCUGAGGAGCGAAAGCGUGGGGAGCGAACAGG